rnacentral:rRNA from 1 species
GACAGAGGGUGCAAACGUUGUUCGGAAUUACUGGGCGUAAAGCGCGUGUAGGCGGCUAAGUAAGUCGGGCGUGAAAUCCCACGGCUCAACCGUGGAAGUGCACUCGAAACUGCAUAGCUAGAGUCCUGGAGAGGAAGGUGGAAUGCUUGGUGUAGAGGUGAAAUUCGUAGAUAUCAAGCGGAACACCGGUGGCGAAGGCGGCCUUC